UGAUGAUUCCUCCUCCAGAGAUGCUCAAGACCACUCCCACAGGGUACUUAAACUGCCCCCCCAACAGAUGUGUGGUUUUCUGGUUUCUCUUUCCUGUCUCCUAUCUGGGGAACUGGAAGGCCAUCUGGGAGCACUGUAUCCAUUAAACAUGGGCUUUUUCUAAUUCGAUUUGAUUUGGUCUGAUUUGGAUUGUUGUGUUCUUAUCAGGUGUGGACACUUCGGAAGCUAUGGCUCUGAGAGGCACGUGAUCACUUUGACAAACAGAGGCAAAGUCCACCAAUCCAGACCGCUUUCCUCUCUGGGGACAGUUAGUGCUGUCUGGACACAUGAAACCCUGGGAGAUCUUCCAGAGAAAACACCCUGUGUCCUCUGUCUCCAUGGUCCCUGACUUUCCUAGGGACAGCUGGAGGAAAUGCCAAGAGGUUGAUUUGUGUCCUCGGGACCCAGCAGGCUGAGCUGGGGGAACAUGUGUGGCUUGGCUCCCAGGAAUGCACUAGACUCCCUGGCAGUGACAAGAGCAAUGGUCACUGAGAUUCCUUCCAGAAACUUCUCUGAGUGGAACCAUCUCGUUUAUCCCCACCAAGAGGCCUAAGAAAAACGUUGGUUGUCUCAACUUUAUGCAGAAGGAUCCUGAGGUUCCACGGCCACGAGGCUGGCAAGGAAGAGUCAGGAUUCGAACCUUCAUCCUCUCAGUCGCUCAGCCCACCGCUCAGAUUCCUUCACUUAGUCCAUUCUCCCUCUCAGAGCUCAGCCUCCACGCUUGUGUGUGCACAUGGCCGCCAGAGGCCAGGCCUGGGUGUGAUUCAGCCUCCAUCCGCCCUCGAGUGUUUGAGGCAGGGUCUCUCACUGGCCAGGCCUUGGGGGUCAUGCUGGCUCAGCUCCCCGCACUGGGCACACCUGGCGUCUCACGCUUGUCUGUGGCAAGCACUGAGUUAUCUACCCGGGUCCCUGCCGCCCCCAUUUUAAAUUAGAGCUUACACCCAAGGGAGAGUGUCCCGGCCACUGGUGCCCACCCCCACACAUUGCAAAUCACACGCAGAGAUGGGGCCCAGCCCAGACUCUCCACGCCCAACAGCUCAGUCCCACUCCACUCCCCCUGAAUCACCCGUUUUUUCUCCCUCCAGGGAGGAGCCGGUCCUGACUAGAAUUGACAUCUGUCCCCCUCAGGAAUGCCAGUAAAAAGAAACUUUUUACUGAGAGGCCCACACAGGUAAUUUGCGACAUUUGCUGUGAGGAUGGCAGACCUUGCCUUCCGGAAACAUCACCAGCGAAGCCUAAAAACUUGCUGCACGCUCGACAUGACAUGGAUUCGACACCAAGCGUAGGGACAGGUAGGCAGCUCACAGGGGACCCUCUGCCCACCCUGGUGACUCUCGGGGGCCGGGUGACAAGCGCGUCACCUGCGCCUGUGACUUUCUUGCCCCUCCUGUGAUUAGGAAGCAUCGCAAGCACCAAGUGAAAGUUUAGGAAAAUAUGGGGGAGGAUGGGGGGGCUGGGGAACGAAAACCAACCGAGUCUUUGAGGUUUAAUAGUCAAUAAAUGUGUCAAUUUUACAUACAGAGGCAAAUGGGCCUUUAUUGAGGAAUUGGUAAAUUUCCUCGGAAGACGUGAAUGCAUUUUAGCCUUCAAGGGGUCCCAGCUGACUGGAAAUGGAAUGUGAUUUGUGAUAAAACUCAGCUGCUCUUAUAAAAGACGUUAAAUAAAUGCUGCCGUUUCACCGGGGAUAUACAAAAUUGAUUGCAUUAUAGACGGAUUCCAGGAUGCGUGUCCCCGUAUGGCCCCAUCAGCCUGUGCACGCAUGUGUGCAUAUGUGUGCAUGCGUGUUUGGUGUAUAUGUGUGUGUGUGUAUGAGUGUGUGUGUGGGGGGCUUGUAGGGGGUUUAGGUUGUAUGUCACUCCUCUUCCUUGUCCUAAGGCAGAAUUUUCUGGGAGCACACCCAUGCUUGGAUUGCAGUUGAACCCUGAGAAACUGUAGCUGUCUGGCAAUUACCAACUCCCCACAACAGCAACUUCUAUGGCUUUGUAAUGUGUUUUGGCAAGCAGGUUAUGGAUCUGGGGGCUGUUUCUAGCCUCACUUAAGGGACUCUUAGUGGCCUGCUGAGUGUUCAUAGGUGCAGGCAUCAGAGGAAGAAUGGGAGCUGUGGCCUUUCCCUCAGCCAGGUCAGGAGAGCUUAAAACAAACCCUUGCUUUUUCUGAGCCUCAGUCUUCCUCAUCUGAAAAACGGGUACAAGCCCCAGAGUGAGUGUUUGAAAAAGUCAAAAGAAGGCAGAGUCUCAGAGUUUUUGACCAACCACUGGUAAGGUGCUGUGUGACCGACAGGAGCUCCAGAGUCACCUUCAGUCAUUGUAACCCUGCCCUCAAACAUUAUGUCUACAAGCAAGGCUGGGUUCCCAGGAAUACUCAGAUGCUUGUGCCACCCUCACCCCAACCCUCUGAAGUUUGCUCCAUGCACUGAUUCGGGUCAGAUGCCCGCAGCAGCCUCUUGUGAGGCUCCCUGGCUCCUUCAACUGCCCAACCCCUCACCCCACAUCAGCAGCCAGAGGAGACUUCCCUUCCGAUGUGGAUGCUGCUCCCUCCUGCCCAACACUUCUCCUGACCCUCAUUCCAUUUCCAUUCAAAACCCGCCUGUGGGGUUAGUGCCCUGCGGGAGGAUGCCCCGCCAGCCAGACCCUUCAAUGCUCUCCCUGCCCCCUCGCUGCUGGGGGUCUUCAUUCUCUUCCUGGAGAUCCCUAAGCUCCUGCAGGCUUCCACAACCUCUGCAGGAGCCUUCUCAUGGCAGACUCGGGCCUCGCCAGUGGUUUCCACAGCAGGCCGCUGGCCCAGGAGCACCAGAACCACUCAAGAGCAUCUAAGAAACGCAGGUGGCUUCUGCUAGCUCGACACUUGGAGAGGCAGGAACUCUGCUCCUGGCUAGUCCUUCAAAGAAACUGCCAAGUAGCUAGCGCGUGCUUGGGGACUCCGUCCACUCUCUAGCCAAGGUCAGAUGGCAGGGGGGAGGAGGAAGGGGAGCACUCUCCCUAACCCCCAGCCGGCGAGGAAUUGCGGGCUGGCAGGAAAUCUGCCACAGCAUGGAAGACACCAAGCCUGGGCCGCCUGACCUGAGGGUUCUGCGGAGAGCUGCUGCUGUGCCAACCUGUGCAGAGCUCCGGCAUGCGGCUGGGCUCUUCUUGGAGUUGGAGGGGCAACAGCUCCUUUCCCUGUAACCUGGGGUGCGGUGCUCUCCUGAUGCUGACACCUGGGUCCCCACUCCUCAUUCUCACUCAGUUUUCCAAAGGGUAUCAGGUCUGGGGAGAUGAACUGUGACUGCCAAUCUAUCUCGGUGGCAAGAUGUGAGCUUCUUCGGAACAAGGGGUGUCCACGGAUUGCAGGUGCAAGGGCCUGGGGCAGCUUGGGGUUCAGAUUCCCCUCCAAUGCCAGGACCGCGCCCAGUGGGAAGCUCUGCUUAAGAUGGAGACACUGAGCCCCCCCCAAGUCCCCAAACAAAGCCAUUAUCACAGGAUAUGCAAGGAGCCUGCUGGGGUACUGGCCUGCUACCCAUGGCAUCAUGAGUUAAUCCAGCCUGAGAGCCCAUGGCCCAGAAGCCAAGAGCCACAGGGUUGUUCGAAAGCCUGACAGUUGUGUCCCACUAAUGGGUGUCUUGUUCCUGCAGCCCGCUGAUUUUUUUAAAUAAACCUAAAUUCCAAUAA